rnacentral:rRNA from 1 species
GAUGAACGCUGGCGGCGUGCCUAAUACAUGCAAGUCGAGCGAACGGACGAGGAGCUUGCUUUUCUGAUGUUAGCGGCGGACGGGUGUGUAACACGUGGAUAAUGUACCUAUAAGACUGGGAUAAUUUCGGGAAACCGGAGCUAAUACCGUAUAAUCUUUUGAACCGCAUGGUUCAAUAGUGAAAGACGGUCUUUCUGUCUGUUAUAGAUGGUUCCGCGCUUCUUUAGCUAGUUGGUAAGGUCACGGCUUACCAAGGCAACGAGGCAUAGCCGACGUGUGGGAGGGAUCGGCCGCAUUGGAGCGUGAACGCGGACAAGACGCCUACGGGAGGGAGCAGUAGGCAAUCGGCCGCAAUGGGGGAAAGCAUUACGGAGCAACGGGAAGUGAGAGGUGAAGACGUUGGGUGCGUAAAGCUCUGUUAUUGGGGAAGAACAGAUUUGUAAGUAGCUGAGCAGAGCGUGACGGUACCUAAUCAAAAAGCCACGGCUAACUACGUG